CCUACGGGUGGCAGCAGUGGGGAAUCUUUGACAAUGGGGGAAACCCUGAUCCUGCGACGCCGCGUGAGUGAAUAAGUAUUUCGGUACGUAAAGCUCUAUCAACAGGAAAGAAAAUGACGGUACCUGACUAACAAGCCCCGGCUAACUACGUACCAGCAGCCGCGGUAAUACGUAGGGGGCAAGCGUUAUCCGGAUUUACUGGGUGUAACGGGAGCGUAGACGGCAGCGCAAGUCUGGAGUGAAAGGCCGGGGCCCAACCCCGGAACUGCUCUGGAUACUGUGAAGCUGGAGUGCAGGAGAGGUAAGCGGAAUUCGUGGUGUAGCAGUGAAAUGCGGAGAUAUCAGGAGGAACACCGGCGGCGAAGGCGGCUUACUGGACUGUAACUGACGUUGAGGCUCGAAGGCGUGGGGAGCAAACAGGAUUAGAUACCCUUGUAGUC
rnacentral:rRNA from 1 species